UACGUAGGUCCCGAGCGUUAUCCGGAUUUAUUGGGCGUAAAGCGAGCGCAGGUGGUUGGAUAAGUCUGAAGUUAAAGGCUGUGGCUCAACCAUAGUAUGCUUUGGAAACUGUUCAACUUGAGUGCAGAAGGGGAGAGUGGAAUUCCAUGUGUAGCGGUGGAAUGCGUAGAUAUAUGGAGGAACACCGGUGGCGAAAGCGGCUCUCUGGUCUGUAACUGACGCUGAGGCUCGAAAGCGUGGGUAGCGAACAGG
rnacentral:rRNA from 1 species